UGCCUUUAUGUGUUGCCCGUUCAUUUGCCGCUAAAUGAAUGUGGUGUCAAAAAAGGCGCAAAGAAUUUCUUGUUUUGUCGCUCAUUCUGAGAUAAUCUCUCGGUGGUAUCUCUAAUAACGACACGACACGAACAGUC